UUCGAUGGUCUGCCACCGCACGUCCUGCCCCGCGCACGUCCGUCUUCAAUCCAACCGCCCCUCGCAUCCCUUCAUUCUCACAGGUGCACGCGGGAGUUGUUGCCGCCGCCGAGCAUGUGGGCUCCGCCGCCCUACCGCCAGACGUGGACGCACGCGGCCGUCGCCGCCGCCGGGCACGUGGCCUCCAUCGCCCCGCCAUCUGGCGUGGAAGCACGCAGCCGUGGUUGUCGCCGCCGCCGUCUGAUGUGGACUCUGGCCGUCGCCGCCACCGGGCACGUGGCCUCUGCCGCCCAACCUGGACACACGUGGUCGUGGCCGUUGCCGCUGCGGCGGGCGUGGCCUUCGCCGGCCUGCUGCCCGGUGUGGAUGCACGCGGCCGUGGCCUCCGUCGCCCAGCCUCCGGGGACGUGUACGCAUGUGGGCGUUGCCGCUGUUAGGGACAUUGGCGCACACAGUAGAGAAAAGCUCCACCGCAACCUCUGUCGUAAGAAUAAGAUGAUUUCUCCUAUCUCUAAUCUACUUGCAAUCUGACAUCCAUUGCCAAUUUGGCUUUCUGGAAAUUCGGUGGCACAUGAAUUCUAAUUCUAAUUUGAACAUGGAGCACUAUUUUUUUUUCUUGUGAUAACCACCAAGCACGAACAUGCAGUGCAUGUAUAGCUCUUGCCGAGUGAAAUUUUUAUAUCAUAUUCCGUUGUCAAUUUACCCUUUGUUUGAGGACAAUAGGCUGUUCUCACAUUAGCAUACAUCUAAACUUCUAGAUUAUUUUUAAUACAUGGUCGUUUGAAGCACCCAUCUUUGUACUGUUUUUUGUGUGUAUGUAUGGUUUUUUUCCUUCUUCUGAAAGAAUCAUAUAUGCUUCGAGUUGACUGACGGGCAAUGCUAGAAAUCACUUGGAAGUUACAGGUGUGUUGGUGCAGAUUGCUUAAAAAAAUUUCAUGUAUCACUUUUUUGUAACUCUGACAUUUAAUUUGUGUUCAAUUAUCUGUAGUACAACCUAACUAUUUGAUCUUCGGGAUGCUAAUUUGUGCACACACAGAAUAAAAAACCGGUAGCGAUGACAAUGUUUCCUGUGAAGAUCAAUACCUGCUACAUAUGCAUUGUUUCCUGUGACGAUCAAUUCCUACUACACCUACACUAGAUCCUGUGAUGCAUUGCGAGGCCUGGAACGACUUUAAUUUUGAAUAUAAUUUUACUUUCGGAGCUGUUUAGUCCAGCAAUGAAACACAUGUCAUUAUCCAGUCUGCUCGCACGAUUGGCACACACAACCACCGCCGACCAUCGUUAUCCGGCCAUAAUCCCGACGUCCUCCUCGCAUCACCCUGCCGUGUGCCCCUGGCCGAUUUCCUCGAUACGCCAUCCAAGCGCGCGUAGCCACAAAAGCUCUUCAUCAUGGUAAGGCGCAGGUAGAUGACGACAAGCUGCAGAACAACAACUCGACAGUGGAGUACCGACGCGAUACUUGUCAUUGGGAAUCGGGAAGGUAUAGUGUUGGGUACAUAAUUUUGCUUGGCCGUCACUUUUCUUUUAAAGUAUGUUCGCUGCAGAAUGAUUCUCGAUAGCUCUUCCUCUCAUGUAUGUUUUCUUUUCAGCAUGAUCAUAGCCCACUGUGUUGUAUAUUGUUUUCACCAAUGAGGGCCAGCUGCAUGACCAAUUGAUUUCUCCCUUCUAUCUGAUUGCCAGUCCGGUGAAGACUUUCCGAUAAUUUGUAUGUCUUUUUGGACUGGUCAUUACUUUCUGAAAUUAAGGCUCCCCUGAUCACCAUAUUUAUUUGGAAGCUACUAGAACAGAGGAGUAUGCUCAUAUGGUCAAGGCUGGUAUCAUCGACCCUGUAAAAGUGAUCCAAAAUGCACUUCAAGGUGCAGCAAGGUACAACUUCAGUUCUCUAACCAUGUACUUUAUGUAUGGCCAUGACAGAAGUAAUCAGACUUGUUUGACAAUUUGUGUUUCUGUACAAUGUUUAUCCGCUGAUCACAACCAUAGAGGUUGCAGAUGAACGACAGGUUUUGAGGACAGUGCGGCAUGAUGCUUGCGUGAAUUGUAUUAGGGUGCGCGCAUUCUGUCCAACGGGAUUUGACUGUACAUCUCUGUCCAUUACUUCAGGUGUGCAUUGAGCAUGCAUGAUUUGCCUGAUGAUAACAAUUGAUUUGCAGUUUUGGAUUAUAAUAUUUUUUGCGGGUCAGGUUUGGAUUAUAUCUAACUAGAAGGAUAUGGAUACUGCUCCAUUGGCAAGCUUUGAUAUUUUUGUUUUCUAGCUAGAAAAAGAUAACAACACGAGUGCUCAAGGUGAUAAAUAUGUUCACCUACAUUGCAAUGGGGCCAUAAAUAUUUUGUGUACCCACUAAUUUUUUGUUGUUGAUUCUGUUUAAGUAUAUUCUUGCUAAUUAGGAUCAAAAUGAUGACGUUAAUUUAGAGCACUUGUUGCCUUACUCCAUAGAUCUAUGACAUUCAACAGAGUUUGUUGAAGCAAUGGCGUCAAAACAUAAAGAAUGUUAUGGGAAGUAGGACUUGUAAGAAAAUAAUCUUAUUACAAGAAUGGAUAAAUAGUGUCAAUGAGAAAAUGUUAAAUCCCCUCUCUCCAUUUCCUUACCAUGAAUCUAACAUUUUUUUGAUCUGUUUUUAGCUUCUAGAUGUUCUGCAACUAUAUACACAAUAGAUACUGUCUGUCUAAACUAUAGCUCCACUCCAUGAGAAGCUGAGAUAAACUAAGAAUGGGGCAAAGAAAUUCCGACUCUUCCUGCUCGCAGGCGGGCCUGGUAUGACUCCCAUGGGUAGCAUUACCGCAACUAUCGAGCCUUCAAAUUUUGAAGAUAACAAGUAGCCUGAAUCCAGGACGAAAACUAAUUCAGUUCUGCCAAGACUACUAUUUUUUGGGUAUCUUUGUUCCAACUUUGCAUUGACACCACUUGGACAAUGUUUAUGUGUUCCUUUCAUUUUCGCCAACAAAAUAAACAUUCUGAAAUCUUUAUAGGAUAUUUGAUUCCAGUUUCACUAUACAAUAGACUAAAUAGGCUACGCCCUUACAUUCUCCGUGGAGAAGUUGUCCACCUAGUUGAUUGCCAUUUAUUUGCGACAUUUUUUGUACAGUUAUGAUUUAUGUGGUAUGUUUGGUACCGUCAAAAGAUGAUUGAUGGGUUUGUACUUCUCCUUUUGUUUAUAGAGAAUGGGCCAUCCUAGAGUAUGAAUUCAAAAUUCUAUAUCCGCAUGAAUUUGACAUGGUUUGAUUGAGGCGUGCGUUGCACGUGCACGCUUAGUAGUCAUGGGUAAAAGUAACAACAAAUUGAGCUCUGUUGUGGUUAAUGAUACGUUUCUAACAUAUCUAUAAUUUUCGAUUGUUCCAUGCUGUUAUAUUAUCAAUCUUGGAUGUUUUACAAUCAUUUUAUAGCAACUUCAUAUCAUUUUUUGGGACUAACCAAUUGACAUAGUGCCCAGUGCCAGUUUUUGUUUUUUUGCUUGUUUUUUUACUUCACAGAAU